rnacentral:rRNA from 1 species
CGCGGGCUAAGGUCCCAAAGUCAUGGUUAAGUGGGAAACGAUGUGGGAAGGCUUAGACAGCUAGGAGGUUGGCUUAGAAGCAGCCACCCUUUAAAGAAAGCG